GUCGCCGUGGUCACCACGGCUUUUCUCAGAGGUUUUAACGCCCCUAGACUUCAUUUCCCGACAGGGACUGCGGGUCUGGAUAUUCCGUCGUGGACUACGUUUCCCACUGACGACGGAGAAAACUUGGUCCUUUGGCUCCGCGCUGCGCGUGACCUGCAGUCACCUGAGCAAGAGGGCGGCGUGGGUCGCUGCGGGAGCCCCUACAGCCCCAGCCCGCAGCCCACGUGGCACCCUACAGGGCUGUGAGAGUGGGGCUGCUGGAGGCGUUCAGAGCGCGGAGGCCCCAGGCGCGGGCCGGGCUCUCUCCCGCCUCCUCAGGCCCGGGGGUGCUGGAGCUGCCGAGGUGGGGGCUCAUCUUUGGGAGACAGUGUCUUUGCUCAGUUCAAAAGCCACAGAAGAAGUUCUGGACGAUGUGGGCCUUCAAUCUUCUAAGAUGGGAAUAGAAAGAAGAGGAUCUACCCAGACCAGGACCCUGCUGCCCAAUCUCAGCUCUGGCUUUCUGGAUCUGUGCUUCUCUGGUAGAGGAACCCUGAGGACUGAUCUACUCUUGCAGUUCUAAAA
ensembl:lncRNA novel transcript